rnacentral:tRNA from 1 species
GGGUCUGUGAGGUAGUCAGGAUAUCCUACCGGCCUUCGGAGCCGGUAACCGGGGUUCGAAUCCCCGCAGACCCG